AGUGAACGCUGGCGGCGUGCCUAAUACAUGCAAGUCGAACGAAGUGGCGCACGGGUGAGUAAUAUAUAGUUAAUCUGCCCUACACAGAGGAACAACAGUUGGAAACGAAUGCUAAUAACUCAUAGUGUAGGAUGAGCCUAUAUCGUAGCAGCUAGUUGGUAAGGUAAUGGCUUACCAAGGCUAUUACGCGUAACUGGUCUGAGAGGAUGAACAGUCACAUUGGAACUGAGAAACGGUCCAAACACCUACGGGAGGCAGCAGUAAGGAAUAUGGCGCAAUGGGGGAAACCCUGACGCAGCAACUCCGCGUGGAUGAUGACACUUUUCGGAGCGUAAACUCCUUUUAUCAUGAAAGCGGUACCUUAUGAAUAAGCACCGGCUAACUCCGUGCCAGCAGCCGCGGUAAUUC
rnacentral:rRNA from 1 species